UACGUAUGGAGCAAGCGUUAUCCGGAUUUACUGGGUGUAAAGGGAGUGUAGGUGGCUAUGCAAGUCAGAAGUGAAAAUCCGGGGCUCAACCCCGGAACUGCUUUUGAAACUGUAAGGCUAGAGUGCAGGAGGGGUGAGUGGAAUUCCUAGUGUAGCGGUGAAAUGCGUAGAUAUUAGGAGGAACACCAGUGGCGAAGGCGGCUCACUGGACUGUAACUGACACUGAGGCUCGAAAGCGUGGGGAGCAAACAGG
rnacentral:rRNA from 1 species